rnacentral:rRNA from 1 species
AUAAAGUAUGGGAAAGCCAUAUGCUAAAAGAAAAGCUUGUAUCGGAUUAGUUAGUUGUUAAAGUAAAGGUUUAACAAGACUAUGAUCCGUAGUUGAUCUUAGAGGAUGAACAACCACAUUGGGACUGAGACACGGCCCAAACUUUUAAGGAAGGCAGCAGUGGGGAAUAUUGGACAAUGAGCGAUAGCUUGAUCCAGCUAUGUCGCGUGUGUGAAGAAGGCCUUAGGGUUGUAAAACACUUUCAACAAUGAAAGAAGGAAUUAAAAUUUAAUAAAUUUUUUUUUUUGACGAUAUUUGUAAAAGAAGCACCGGCUAACUCCGUGCCAGCAGCCGCGGUAAUACGAGGGGUGCAAGCGUUAAUCGAAAUUAUUGGGCGUAAAGGGUGCGUAGGUUGUUUUUAAAAGUUAAUUGUUAAAUUUAUUAAAGUAGUUUAAUAAAGCAAUUA